rnacentral:rRNA from 1 species
CGCGUAGGUGGCGCGGGUAGUCGUCGGUGAAAGCUCAGGGCUCAACCCUGAGUCGGCCGGUGAUACUCCCGUGCUCGAGUGUGGUAGAGGCCAAUGGAAUUCCGGGUGUAGCGGUGGAAUGCGUAGAGAUCCGGAAGAACACCGGUGGCGAAGGCGGUUGGCUGGGCCACAACUGACACUGAUGCGCGACAGCGUGGGAGCAAACA